CUAAUCACCCUCAAACUUGGCCAAAAGCUUCGAUUGGGACUCUCCCACUCUCAACUCUCACCAUCACUCUCAUCAAUGGCAACCCUGGAAGAGCUCAGAUCUCCGCCGUCACCAGCACGGCCCUCGCUGCGCCGUUAGCCUCCCCUCCACCUUCUCUCUUGUCGCCUCUGCCCUAGCAUCCAACAGCGUCAGCGUCAUUAGCCUCUCCCUAUCUCCUCGUCGUCUCCUUGUUGUUUACGCGCCAGUGUCGUCGUUUCGCCGCUCUCCUGCCAUCUUCCUGCUCUGGCCACCAUUGCCUUCCUUGUCAUUUGUGUGUGGAAGAAAGCUAAGAGAAGGACGGUGUUACAGUGUGUGUGUGUGGCGGUAGCUCCUCACUCUUCAACCUUGUUUCUCUUUUCAAUUUCUCUCAGAUUGUUUGAGCUGUAUGGUAAUGAAACAAAAAUGAUGCUGUUGGCCAAAGAACUGGCCCCUCUGCAGAAUAUCGGUUCUCAAAACUGCAUUACUUUUAGUGUUGAUGGAUCUAAAUUUGCCACCGGUGGGUCAGACGGGCAUUUCAGAAUUAUGGAGUGGCCUAGCAUGAACAUUUUAGAUGAGCCAAGAGCACACAAAUCUGUGCGGGAUAUGGAUUUCAGGUAGAUAUACUCAACGAGUUAAAUGGAUGCAUUAACCCUUGCAACCAGUAGAAUAGCAAUUAAAGCUUAAUUAGUAGCUAGUGAAAUCUUAUUUGGAGUUCAUCCCAUGUAGUUCAUUUUUUGUGCAUGUUCAUCCUUACCAUUGAUAAUUUGAUUAUGUAGAGAUAUUUUUUUAACAAGUCUUAUAUAGUUUCAUAAUAAAUAUCUUAUUCCCAAUACUGAUAGUAAAGCCAAUUACUGACACUAAUUACAAGAUAUAUUUCCCAGUUUAAUUUGCACUUUAAUACAUUACUUUCAGCAUUGAAAAAAUGUUUUGAGAUUUACGAAACUAUUAUUCAUUUGUGCGUGGAAUAUUCGUGGAUGAGUCCAAUAUUUACGCUCUCAUUUGAAUGACUCUGCCAUGUGGUUGAGAAAAGUUCUGACCAAUUAUUUGGUUCAUAUGUAUAUAUGUUCAUUCGGCGAAGGAAUAAGACUCAAAAAACAAAGAGUGGACUUGACUUCAAGGGCCAUUUCCAUGGCUAACCCAACCACUUCUUCUUCUUCUUCGGUGGCUGCUUCUCCCACAGAAGAGAAAAUGGACCGUCUUCCGGCAGAGUUGAACGUCACCAAAACACAAGAACCCAAUUCCAGAGUUAGACUUCAAGUGGAGGUGCCAGCAGUUGUCUGUGAGGAUUGUUACGAAAGGGUCAUAUCUGAGUUUACAAAACAAGCAAGUGGACACCUAAAAACUGUUGCUUCUCUAUUGAAUGUGUGCCUUGUAUUAACUCCAUCUUGUGAAGGCAGAGAAAGCUAGAAGAUACAUUCCAAGAGAAUUCAAAUUGGCUGAAGCUUUUGGACUUCCAUGAUACAUGGGCCUUCUUGGAUGCUCGAAUGAAAGAUGCUUUUGAUCUAAAGAAAACCAUUCAAGAGAAAAAAAAGCACUGAGCUUGCUUGCCAAUGGGGUUAUUCCUUGUUUCUUCAUUGUUAUGUCUUUGCUCCACCAAACAUUGCUGGGAAUCAUUCUGAUAGGGGGAUAUUGAGCUCGGUUAUGUACUUGUUGGGCACAAGGUUGUAAGAAAAAUAUAAAAUACAGAAAAUGAGGUACCCUGACGAUGAUCUUGAGACCCCAGACCUGCUAUUAAUUUUCCAUUGCUUAGUUAGUGAAUUUCGGCUGGAUAGGAGGUUAAGGGUUUUUUGUUAUUGAAAAAACCUGGAAAGUUUUGUAUAAGGAUUAAUGUAUAAAACAAUUAUACCAAAAAUUGUCACUAAUUACUGUUUAAUUUAUCUUGUAAUAAAA